AUUGAACGCUGGCGGCAGGCCUAACACAUGCAAGUCGAGCGGGGUUUUCGGACCUAGCGGCGGACGGGUGAGUAAUGCGUAGGAAGCUACCCGAUAGAGGGGGAUACCAGUUGGAAACGACUGUUAAUACCGCAUAAUGUCUACGGACCAAAGUGUGGGACCUUCGGGCCACAUGCUAUCGGAUGCGCCUACGUGGGAUUAGCUAGUUGGUGAGGUAAUGGCUCACCAAGGCGACGAUCCCUAGCUGGUUUGAGAGGAUGAUCAGCCACACUGGGACUGAGACACGGUCCAGACUCCUACGGGAGGCAGCAGUGGGGAAUAUUGGACAAUGGGCGCAAGCCUGAUCCAGCCAUGCCGCGUGUGUGAAGAAGGCCUUCGGGUUGUAAAGCACUUUCAGUAGGGAGGAAGCGUUGUGUGUUAAUAGUACACAGCGUUGACGUUACCUACAGAAGAAGCACCGGCUAACUCUGUCCCAGCCGCCGCCGUAACAC
rnacentral:rRNA from 1 species